GCGCUGCCUUUGAGCCCCCGCCGCGCCUGCGCGUGGCGCCGGGGGUCAGGCUGCAGCGCCAGAGCACAGGCUUGCGCAUAACUGGGGCAGUCGGCUCUUCGCCGGCGGCCCUUUUAACCGCAAGCGACACUG
ensembl:snoRNA